rnacentral:misc_RNA from 1 species
GUGCCAUUAGCAUAGUUGAGCACAAGCUGGCCACCAUCUGUUAGACUAAUAGUUGAUCUUAUUUCAGCUGGAUUGUCGCGAUUUGCUGACCAGACAAGUGGUGUUUCCUGGAUUUUGUUAAACCAAAUUCCAACUAGGAAUAGGGUAUCUGAAACAGGAUAAAAUCCGAAGGCAAAGUCCCCAGACAAUGAUAACAAAAAAC